rnacentral:rRNA from 1 species
UACGGAGGAUGCAAGCGUUAUCCGGAAUGAUUGGGCGUAAAGCGUCCGCAGGUGGCUAUGUAAGUCUGCUGUUAAAGAGUGAGGCUCAACCUCAUAAGAGCAGUGGAAACUACAUGGCUAGAGUGCGUUCGGGGCAGAGGGAAUUCCUGGUGUAGCGGUGAAAUGCGUAGAGAUCAGGAAGAACACCGGUGGCGAAAGCGCUCUGCUAGGCCGCAACUGACACUCAUUGACGAAAGCUAGGGGAGCGAAUGGG